UCCUGAGCUCCUGGGGAAAUCAGUGGCAGGGACACAGACAUGAUUUCCUCAGCCCGUGGCAGUGUUUGGGGAAAUGCAAUGAGAGCUUGGAGCGCUGUCCCAUGAAGGGAAUGUGAUGGAUGUGAUGGACACAGUAAAUCUGGGACUUCCAUGGCUGAGUGGUGGCCUUGUCCUUUCUGAGGGACCAUCCAGGGACACUGCCCAGAGAGCUGUGGGUGCCCCAUCCCUGGAGGUGCUCAAGAACAUUAGGAAAAAAAUCUUCUCUGAAAGGGUAGUAAUGCAUUGGAACGGGCUGCCCAGGGAGGCGGUGGAUUCCCUGUCCCUACAGGGCACCUUGUCUGUGUGCUGGAGAUGGACACCUCUCCAAGAGCAUCUACCAGGGUCUCCAUCCUUUGCUCCUGUACCUGCAAAGGAAAGGCCAUGUCGUCUUGAAGCUGGGCUUGUUCUGAAAACCCCUCCUGUGCUUCCUGGUGUCACACAGCACGUCGGUUCAGGUGUCACUGCCAAUCCCACUUGCCAGGCCCAUGUGCACUUCGUUUUCUUGCCCUUCUUGAGAACUGUCUGCAGGUUGUGCUUUGCCUCCAUCAUCAUUGUGGCUUUCAUCUGCACCGGUAGCGGCAAUCCCCACCAUGCAGGAUUUAUUUACAUUGCAGGCAACAGGCUCCCUCACCGGGAGAGGAUGGCACAGGUGAAGACAACAGCGGACAAAAAGCCAAAAUCACAGCCCACGUUGAGGAUCAAAUCUUUAUCAGAGCCUUCAGCGACCUGGCAGCUUGGAGGCUUCUGCUUUCGAUUCCAGGAAAGCAGAGCAGCAAAAUUAAAGCCUGCAAAACCUAC
ensembl:lncRNA